AACGAACGCUGGCGGCAUGCCUAACACAUGCAAGUCGAACGAGACCUUCGGGUCUAGUGGCGCACGGGUGCGUAACGCGUGGGAACCUGCCCUUAGGUUCGGAAUAACUCCCCGAAAGGGGUGCUAAUACCGGAUAAUGUCUUCGGACCAAAGAUUUAUCGCCUUUGGAUGGGCCCGCGUUGGAUUAGCUAGUUGGUAGGGUAAAAGCCUACCAAGGCGACGAUCCAUAGCUGGUCUGAGAGGAUGAUCAGCCACACUGGGACUGAGACACGGCCCAGACUCCUACGGGAGGGAGCAGUGGGGAAUAUUGGACAAUGGGCGAAAGACUGAUCCAGCAAUGCCGAGUGAGUGAUGAAGGACUUAGGGUUGUAAAGCUCUUUUACCCGGGAUGAUAAUGACAGUACCGGGAGAAUAAGCUCCGGCUAACUCCGUG
rnacentral:rRNA from 1 species